rnacentral:rRNA from 1 species
UACGGAGGGGGCUAGCGUUGUUCGGAAUAACUGGGCGUAAAGGGCGCGUAGGCGGUUUAAUAAGUUAGGCGUGAAAGCCCCGGGCUUAACCUGGGAUGUGCGUUUAAGACUGUUAAGCUAGAGUGCGAGAGAGGAAAGUGGAAUUCCUAGUGUAGAGGUGAAAUUCGUAGAUAUUAGGAAGAACACCAGUGGCGAAGGCGACUUUCUGGCUCGCAACUGACGCUGAGGCGCGAAAGCGUGGGGAGCAAAC